rnacentral:lncRNA from 1 species
GUCCAAAGUUGAUUGGACCUAGGGCAUAAUACUUACAAACUCCCACUUGCACUAGAUCCAAUCACUUAUGUAUCAAAUAUCAUAAGUCUACAUGACGAUCAUGUUUACACUACGACAACUCUUUGUCGGUGGAUCUGCAAUAUUAUUAAACGUGGAAAUUUGCUCUUCUCUUUACGUCAUUUCCAUGUAUUAUCUCUUUGAUGAGAUUAUACCGCCUUAAUACAUGUUUGGAUCAUUGAUGAGACCUUAGUUCCUUUGCUUUCGCAAUGGCUCUAUUGUUAUCACAAUACUAUUGUAUGUGAUUAACAAUAUCAGGAACUACUCCAAGUUCAUUUAUGAACAUCAUGAUCCAUAUUGCAACUCUUUGCUACUUCUAAAGUAUCCAUGUAUUAGGUUUCUACUAUUGAAUCAAUGGCUGCUUCACGUUUGGAACCUUUCCAACAUACCGCUUAAGAGUAAACCAGUUUCUCCAUAUGAAAUCUUCUCAAGAUUUCAUCUAUGUAAAUUGGGAUGAGUUAAGCAAUCUUCGAGAUCUACCUCUAUAGAUCAAGUUGCUUAUCCCAUAUCGUUUAUGAAUAAAUCCUUUAACAACCAUUAUUUCAACGAUUGAAAUAUAGGGAUGUCGUUUUAGGAAUACGAAAAAUGCUCCCACUAUCUUCUGGUAUACACACAAUUCGUUUUUAAAUUUGAUAAAAUCAAACACUUUGACUUUUCAUCAAAUCUAAGAUUUCAGCUCCAAGAGACUUCUCUUAACCUAUAGUCACGAUAUGCAACUAUUGCAAACAAAACCCGAAUGGACUUAAGCAAGGCUACAGGAGAAAUAUUUCACCAAGGUCAACAUUUAACCUUUG